GGCGGGCUGCCCGGUUUGUGAAGGAACAUUUUUUCCCAGGGCCUAUAAUCGAUCUUUAGGGAGCUGUCCCUGGGCUGGACCGUGGUCCGGCUUAAACGGCGCCCACCUACGUGAGUAGGGACCCGGGAUCGUAAGUUCCCACGGCCCAUGGUGGCUCGCCG
rnacentral:other from 1 species